CGAGGCCCCACGCUCAAACCCGACGAGCUGGAAUGGCGAGGUCAUCCGAGCCGACCAUCAUGAUUCCCCACAGAACAAUAAGAUCUUCGGAUGUUGGUGCUGAGAUUGAUGUGGCCCUAGCUACAUGUAAGCGAAGCUUAUGAUGUCGAUCCUUCAGGCUGCACUGCCAUCAUGUUACCUCACAAACUGCUGGUGGUAUGAUUGCGUACCAGACUACUUGGUGCUGGGCUACUUGGUGCUGCCCAUCACAAUUUGUACUGACAAUUUCCAUCAAGACGGCCGACAGCAAGAACUUG